rnacentral:tRNA from 1 species
GGACUGGUGGUGUAAUGGUAACAUAUUGCGUUCGGACGUGAAGAGGGGUAGUUCGAUCCCUCCCUGGUCCA